rnacentral:rRNA from 1 species
GAUGAACGCUAGCUACAGGCUUAACACAUGCAAGUCGAGGGGUAACGAGAGGAAAGCUUGCUUUCCUUGUCGACGACCGGCGCACGGGUGAGUAACGCGUAUCCAACCUGCCCCCAACUAGGGAAUAACCUUGCGAAAGUAAGACUAAUACCCUAUAAUUUCCUCAGAUGUCAUCUGACGAGGAAUAAAGAUUUAUCGGUUGUGGAUGGGGAUGCGGCUGAUUAGCUUGUUGGCGGGGUAACGGCCCACCAAGGCAACGAUCAGUAGGGGUUCAUAGAGGAAGGUCCCCCACAUUGGAACUGAGACACGGUCCAAACUCCUACGGGAGGCAGCAGUGAGGAAUAUUGGUCAAUGGGCGGAAGCCUGAACCAGCCAAGUAGCGUGCAGGAUGAAGGCCCUCGGGUUGUAAACUGCUUUUGUACAGAACGAAAAGGUUUCUACUAAUACUAGGAGCUCAUGACGGUACUGUAAGAAUAAGCACCGGCUAACUACGUGCCAGCCGCCGCCGUAA